rnacentral:rRNA from 1 species
CUAGCUGGUCUGAGAGGAUGACCAGCCACACUGGAACUGAGACACGGUCCAGACUCCUACGGGAGGCAGCAGUGGGGAAUAUUGCACAAUGGGCGCAAGCCUGAUGCAGCCAUGCCGCGUGUAUGAAGAAGGCCUUCGGGUUGUAAAGUACUUUCAGCGGGGAGGAAGGGAGUAAAGUUAAUACCUUUGCUCAUUGACGUUACCCGCAGAAGAAGCACCGGCUAACUCCGUGCCAGCAGCCGCGGUAAUACGGAGGGUGCAAGCGUUAAUCGGAAUUACUG